AAAUGCGAUAAUUAAUGUGAAUUGCAGAAUUCAGUGAAUCAUCGAGUCUUUGAACGCACAUUGCGCCCCCUGGUAUUCCGGGGGGCAUGCCUGUCCGAGCGUCAUUGCUGCCCUCAAGCACGGCUUGUGUGUUGGGCUUCCGUCCCUGGCAACGGGGACGGGCCCAAAAGGCAGUGGCGGCACCAUGUCUGGUCCUCGAGCGUAUGGGGCUUUGUCACCCGCUCCCGUAGGUCCAGCUGGCAGCUAGCCCCGCAACCAAUCUUUUUAACCAGGUUGACCUCGGAUCAGGUAGGGAUACCCGCUGAACUUAAGC
rnacentral:misc_RNA from 1 species